CCUACGGGUGGCAGCAGUGGGGGAUAUUGGACAAUGGGGGAAACCCUGAUCCAGCGACGCCGCGUGAGUGACGAAGUAUUUCGGUAUGUAAAGCUCUGUCAGCAGGGAAGAAAGAAAUGACGGUACCUGACCAAGAAGCCCCGGCUAACUACGUGCCAACAGCCACGGUAAUACGUAGGGGGCAAGCGUUAUCCGGAAUUACUGGGUGGAAAGGGAGCGUAGACGGUGAUGCAAGUCUGGAGUGAAAGGGGGGGGCCCAAACCCCGGACUGCUCUGGAAACUGUGGAACUUGAGUGCAGGAGAGGUAAGCGGAAUUCCUAGUGUAGCGGUGAAAUGCGUAGAUAGUAGGAGGAACACCAGUGGCGAAGGCGGCUUACUGGACUGUAACUGACGUUGAGGCUCGAAAGCGUGGGGAGCAAACAGGAUUAGAUACCCUAGUAGUC
rnacentral:rRNA from 1 species